GGGUGAGUAAUGCUUGGGAACUUGCCUUUGCGAGGGGGAUAACAGUUGGAAACGACUGCUAAUACCGCAUAAUGUCUUCGGACCAAACGGGGCUUCGGCUCCGGCGCAAAGAGAGGCCCAAGUGAGAUUAGCUAGUUGGUAAGGUAGCGGCUUACCAAGGCGACGAUCUCUAGCUGUUCUGAGAGGAAGAUCAGCCACACUGGGACUGAGACACGGCCCAGACUCCUACGGGAGGCAGCAGUGGGGAAUAUUGCACAAUGGGGGAAACCCUGAUGCAGCCAUGCCGCGUGUGUGAAGAAGGCCUUCGGGUUGUAAAGCACUUUCAGUUGUGAGGAAAAGUUAGUAGUUAAUACCUGCUAGCCGUGACGUUAACAACAGAAGAAGCACCGGCUAACUCCGUGCCAGCAGCCGCGGUAAUACGGAGGGUGCGAGCGUUAAUCGGAAUUACUGGGCGUAAAGCGCACGCAGGCGGUUUGUUAAGCUAGAUGUGAAAGCCCCGGGCUCAACCUGGGAUGGUCAUUUAGAACUG
rnacentral:rRNA from 1 species